AGUUAACAUUUGAUUUAGUGAAAGAAGGUGAAAUUUUGUUGAUAAGGUGAAAUUUUUAAUUAGAAGUAAAUUCUUAAGAAAUCUGUUGGAAUUAAAAAAUUUAGGUAAAAAACCAGGAUUAGAUACCCUGUUAUUCUAAAUUAUAAUGUAGAUAGGGUAGUAAAAGUUGUUCUUCAAACCCAAAGAUUUUGGCGGCAUCUUAUCCUAAUAGAGGAGCUUGUUCUAUAAUUGAUAGUCCUCAUUUUAUCUUACCCUCUUUUGUUAAGCUUGUAUACCGCCGUUGUCAGAUUACUUUAGAAGAAUGUUUUCAAGAAAAAUAUUUUUUUCACUUCAGGUCAAGGUGCAGUUUAUAAGAGGGCAGCAAUGAGCUACAAUUUUUAAUAGAAAUACGAAUUUUAGGUUUGAAAUCCGGGGAAAGGUGGAUUUAUUAGUAAAUUUACUUAAGUAUA
rnacentral:rRNA from 1 species